UCGGCCGUCGAGCGUCGACCUCCCCAAUCCCCGCUCUCUCUCUCUCUCUCUCUUCUAUUUUCCCUCUCCCCUCCUUAUCCAAAACCCAUCUGCAACUCCGGCAUUUCUCAGAGAGAGAGAGAGAGAGAGAAAGUGAGAGAGAGGGAGGUAGAGUUGAAGGAACAGAGCAAAGGAAAAGCUAAAAGCAGAAAAUGGCGGUUUCGCUCUCCACCAAUUCCUUCCUUUCCGUCUCCCCUAGCUCCUCCAUCACUUCCCGCUUUCGAGCCUCUCCCGGGAAGCUCACUUUCGGGACGAGCAUCACUAGACACCCUGGCUACGGGAGGCGGAGCUCCGUCCUUCUUCGGCCUGUCUGCGCUGUCGCCGUCUCGCCCAAGAUUGAAAAAUUGGGCCAAGAGAUCAAGCUCCUGACCCUCGAGGAGGCCCGGUCGCUCUCUGACUACCUCCAGGAGGAGCUUGGCGUCUCUCCAGCCGCAUUCGCGCCCGCUGCUGUCGGGGUGGCGCCUGGUGCUGCCGCGGAGGCAGCGGCGCCUGUGGUCGAGGAGAAAACUGAGUUUGAUGUGGUGAUUGAGGAUGUGCCAAGCAACGCAAGAAUUGCGACCAUCAAGGUGGUGAGGGCUAUCACCAACCUCGCGCUGAAGGAGGCCAAGGAGCUCAUCGAGGGCCUGCCGAAGAAGUUCAGGGAAGGCAUCUCGAAGGAGGAGGCAGAGGAUGCGAAGAAGAAGCUCGAGGAGGUGGGAGCAAAGGUCUCUAUCGUCUAGAGCGGACAGUUCUCUUGCAGAAGGAAGAAUCAUGUGUGAAUUAAAAGCAGGUAAAUGCUUGUGGAGUUCAAAAGAUAAUGCUAUUGUGGGUGAACCAAGUUGCUCCAGAAGUUGUUGGAUUCCUCUUUGUUUCAGGAAUGAGCUCUGUGUUCGUUGUGUUAAUUUCUAGUUCUUCAACAUUCUCAUCAGGGGACAAAAUACCAUGUGGAAGAUUUUCGUUGUAUUUGUCGCAUAAGCCUACAGAAUGACCCAACUUGUGGACCGAGGAAUACGCUUUGAGCCUUUGACAGAGCAGUAAGUAGUGGUGGUAGUUUGUUAUAUACAAAUAAAGCAGUUGUUUCUGGUCAAACAACGAGGAUGACUUUAACAUGCAUUCAUGAAUUUACUGCUUUUACAUGUAUGUCCAUCAGAUGUACUAUUUUAAUAUCUGAUAGAAAUCCCCCGGUCAGAGAUGCCUUUUUUUUUC